rnacentral:rRNA from 1 species
AUUGAACGCUGGCGGCAGGCUUAACACAUGCAAGUCGAGCGAGUGGCGGACGGGUGAGUAAUGUCUGGGAAACUGCCUGAUGGAGGGGGUUAACUACUGGAAACGGUAGCUAAUACCGCAUACCAUCAGAUGUGCCCAGAUGGGAUUAGCUAGUAGGUGGGGUAAUGGAUAACCUAGGCGACGAUCCCUAGCUGGUCUGAGAGGAGGACCAGCCACACUGGAAAUGAGACACGGUCCAGACGCCUACGGGAGGCAGCAGUGGGGGAUAUUGCACAAUGGGCGCAAGCCUGAUGCAGCCAUGCCGCGUGUGUGAAGAAGGCCUUCGGGUUGUAAAGCACUUUCAGCGAGGAGGCGUUACUCGCAGAAGAAGCACCGGCUAACGCCGUGCCAGCAGCCGCGGUAAUUC